AAAAUGUACAUCGUCAAUCACAAACACAUAUUCUAAGGAAUUGAAUUUUAUAGAGAUAAUUGAAUGCUUUCAUCUGUAAAAGAAUUAGUGGCCUGCAAACCACUGUGGAUUCUUGCUAUGCUUUGAAGUUGUCAGUGGGGGAAUUUGCUGCUGCAAGUUACUUAGACUUGUAGGCAAAGGGAAAUUCAAAUUUUUAAUUCUAAAAUGAAAACCACUGACAAAAUUUUAUACUCUGAAAGUUUGGUUGUUAGCUUAGUCAUUAUUUUCCUGUUCUUUAUCAUUUCGGAAUUCAGAUGCUUAAAUUUAACAUACAAAUUAUUUGUUGGUAAAACAUAAAACAUAAAAAGCUACAUUUGGUAAACUAAAUUUUAGGAUUCAAAGUCUCUAACAAUUUCUAUGUGACAUGUCAUACGGUGCAGUUUUUAUUUGCCAAAGUGUCUACUUCAUACUGCCUAUGCACUGCUUCCCGUUUUUAAUCUCUCUACCCCAACCCCCCUAUAAUUAAAUAAACCCCUAGAAAACUGCCUUCUUUUAGAAUACCUAAUUGAUUACUUUAAAUAUUUUUUCAGAAUCAAAAUUACAAAAGGGAGAGAUACCUAAGAAUCUGGCUUGUUUAUAUUCUUUAAAAGAUCGCAUUUGAUUGAAGGUUACUGUACUGGUUUGCCAGCAAACAAUGGAAAAUGUGGAGAAGCUGAAGAAUGCUCAAGCUGGGACUUAAUAGAGUGGCCUAUUUGGUUUGAAAUGUUUUAACUUACAGAGCAUUGAGUAGAAGCCUAAUCUAAUAUACAUAAGGAAGACAAAAGCAAAGGAUUGUGUUUUCUAUCUAAAGGUUAAUCAUUGUGGUUGCUCCUGGCCAUUAUCACAUGACUGGAAGUUAACACUCUCCAAACGCUGAGCCUAUCCUGUACAGCACUAGAAAGUAGAAAGAAUCACUCAAUUCAGGGAAACCGUUUUCUCUUAAUGUGAACAUUUACAUUAAUGCCAUUUCCAAAACCUUUCUGGGACUUCUUAAAUGCAAAGAUGCUAUCUGCUUUACUUCAUGCUGCCUGUUUUUAGGAGCUUGGAGUGCUUUAGGAAGCUUCCCAAUACUGGUUUAGCAGUAAUUUGGUUGACUGAUCAAGGCAUGUUUUAACUUUGACACUGAAAUUUUAAAAAGACAACAGUUAUCUUGCCCGGAGAGUCAAGUUUCUGCUUCCAAGGAGGUCAGGAAUUGUUCUCUUUGGUGAUGUGGCUGUGCUUGGUAGCCCUUGAAAGUGGAGUCGACAGCAGUCCUCAGCUUUUGUGUGCCUGUCUUAGUCUGUUUUGUGUUACUAUAACAGGAUAGCUGAGGCAGGGUCACUUAUGAAGGAUGCUCACAGUUCUACAGGCUGGGAAGUUCAAGGGCAUGGCCCUGGCUUUUGGCAAGGGCUUUGCUGCUGCUUCAUAGCUUGAUGGAGAAGGUCAGAGGGGAAGCAGACGUGCAAACAACCCACUUGUUCACAACAACCAAACAAGUCUCUUUUUAACAACCCACUCCUGGGGACUAAUCUAGUCUUGAGAGAGUGAGAACUCAUUGCAAGAGCAGCACCAAGCCAUUCAUGAAGCAUCUGCCUCAGUGAACCAAACAUCUCCCACUAGGCCCCAGCUCUCAACACCACCACAAUGAAGAUAAAAUCUCAUCAUACAUUUGAGGGACAGUUUGGGAGACAGACCAUAGCAGUGCUCAGUAUUUCUACCCAAAUGUUCAGGUAACUUAAUAUAUUUUUCCUUGAAUAUAUGUUUAAAUGGGCUUCCCUUCCCCACGCUCAUCUUGAAUGGUCCCACAACAACUUUUGAUUAUCACGUUCCUGUAAAUACACAAAAAUAUUUUGUGGUCUUUUACUGGCAGCCCAGUGGAUGGGACUUUAAAAAAUCACCCAGAUUCCAACAACCAGAGAAAACGACUGGUGUAUAUUUUUUCCAGUCUUUAUUUGUAUGUCUGUGUAUAUUCAAUGGAAAAUGUUUGAAGCUUCACUCACAGCACAUUCCAUUAGAGAAAGCUACUAAAAUCAUAAGGAAAAUCUAAAAUGCAGUAAGCCAGUCAGCAAGCCAUAAUGGGCAUAUGAAAACAAAGUUUUUUGCCAUGAUUUGUGGACCACAGAAGAUCUGUGUUAUUAGUCUAUUUAAGUUUGGUGUUUGAAAUUAAAAAUGUUCGACAUACUUUUUAUGUUUUUUUUAAAUAUACUGUCUAUAUUUAAAAUUGAGUAUACUGUACUUUAGUGUGUUUGGAAGCAGAUAUCCCCAAAUAAAAGUAUACAGUAGAACCAAAGAAUUUUAUUGAUCAGCUAGAAUUUAGUUUUCAGGUGUAAUAACUGUCAACCUAAAUAACAGAGGCUUUCUAAAAGAAAAUGAUGUUUAUUUGGGAAUAGGGCAUUGUGAAGGCAAUAUGCAUGCCAUAGUAAACUGUGUGUAUUCAGGAAGGUAAAGGAAGACAGGUUUUUAAAGGACAGAUAAAGAUUAUAUAAUUGUCUUGAAAUAAUUAUUCUUGGCUACAAGGAUUAAUAACAAGGAUGCUGCCAGUUCGGGUUUGGACAAUCGGCUUCUAGGCAGAUGUCCCAAAAGUAUUUUCUGUGUAAGGUUGCGAAUAGUGUUUGUGCAAGCUGGCGUGGUUUCUUCUGGGUCUUUGAGGUAGUGCGUAAAAUCCCUCUCUUCAUGGACUUCCCUGGCUCCAUUUGUCAGGGCUUUUGGAAACAUGACUCUUGAUUCUGACAGCUUUCACCUUUCCCUCUCUUGAUGAAGAUGUUUUUCCGAAAGUAUCUAUGAUGAAUCAUCUUGUAGUUAGGCUUUGAUUGUCCCUUGGUGACAGAAUAGACCUUUCCCGGGUUAUUGGUCUGGUCCUGCAUCCUGCAUUGGCAGGAGUGAUUGGCAACUAAAAGUCAGUGUUAAAACCCUUUUAGCCACCUUUGAGGGCAGGGAGGCUUUAAGGGAGUGGCACUUAGGCUAAGUCCACCUGGAGUCUAUUAUUAAGUCCAAUUUUUUUUCCUUAGUCCUUUGUUGUCCCCUCAAAGUGCUGGGCUAGCAUUAUUCUGUUAGGAAUUGUACUUCUUUCUGCAGAAAAUUUGGCAAAUAACAGAUACAAAGUUUAAAAAGGAAAUACACAAAAUUAAUAGUAAUGUGACAAUCCCAGUUUGCAUAAUGGUUUUGAGCCCUGAACCUAGGCUUACAGGCAACCAAUUGAAUAAAUCAAAUUGUAAUACAAUUCUUGCUCUGAUGUCUUAGGAAAAAUGUCUACAGCCUGAAAUCAUCAACUUUUUGUCCUGGUUUGCAGUUUGAAUGUCUCUAGCUAUGGCAUUGGUUGGUAUGGUGAACUUUUGUGUGACCCAUACAUCAGCAUGAGACUUGCUCCUUUAAAAAUUAAUCACAUCUUAGCUUAUAGGCCUCAGAGCAUGGGAGUAGUUUUUUUUCUUAGAGAGUCAUAGCCAAAUAUUGAAGGAAAUUAGGAGGAUUCAGGAGCAAAUCCAGUCUGCAGGUGGAUAACAGGAGUUUCAAAACGGUACAGAGCUGUGAUCUAAUAACAGGUACAUAUAGCUUUCUUCAGAAACUUAAAGUUACCCUGAUUUUUACCAAAGAUGUUCAGAAUAAAACAGAUUUGUAAACUUUAUCAGAUUUUGUCUGCAAGAAUAGUAGUAUGGUCACAGUAAUCUCAGAUUUAAAAACCUCCUUGAGGCUAAGAAGCUAAGUCAAGGUAGACUUUAGAUUUUACCUAUAGUUUUAAGGUUCCUGGGCCUGCCAGGAAAUGAUAAUUUUUAAUUCAGUGUAAUGCUGAGAACCAUUGAAGCCAGGCAUUCUACACAUUCUCAAAUAUGACAUUUUAAUCAAAGCCUUGGUAAUACAACCAGUGUUUCCAAUUGUAUCCUGUUAUAACGAGAGCCGAUUUUUAUUGAACUUAGGCAAAUCAUAUUGCCUUAAGAGUACUCACAAAUAGGCUGGGCACAGUGGCUCAUGCCUGUAAUCCCAGCUCUUUGGGAGGCCAAGACAGGUGGAACACCUGAGGUCAGGAGUUUGAAACCAGCCUGGCCAACAUAGUGAAACCUCCCCCCGGCCACCGUCUCUACUAAAAAAUACAAAAAUUAGCUGGGUGUGGUGGUGCAUGCCUGUAGUCCCAGCUACUUGGGAGGCUGAGACAGAAUUGCUUGAACCCUGGAGGCAGAAGUUGCACUGAAACAAGAUCGUGCCACUGCAUUCCAGCUGGGGCAACAGAGCGAGACUCCGUCUCAAAAACAAAAACAAAUGAAUACUCAAAAUAGUUUCCAAAUUGGAGGGAUCAAGAAGAAAGGAAAAGCAAAUAUUUCUACCUUUGUUCACAAAAGUAUUCCAAAUUGCUGUAAACUAUAGAUAGCAUGAGAGAAUUUCUUUAAAUAUGGAAAACAAAACAUUUAAGUAAAAAAACAAUAAUGCUUCAAAUAAAAGUCACAGACACAUCUUCAGUUACUUAGUCUCAUGUAACUUUUUUUGUUGUGGUUGAUCUUAAUUAGUAGUUACAUGGACUCAUCAGUUUCUUGAAGUUCUGAAAAAAUAUUUAGUCCAUUGGUAUUAAAGUGAUUAGUAACCUGUAUUUAAAAGUGUGUUAGCAUCUUUUCCAUGAAUCUGAUUGCAAAUGCUUUUAGAGAAAAAGCAAUAACUGGGAAUUACAAAAACUUAGAAUAACCAUGAUUAAAAAUCUGAUGAGAGUUUACCAUAACCAGAAAUAGACAAAGAGUUUUGGUUAUUUUUGUGGCAAACAGCAUAAUCAGAAUUAUGACUGAUGACAUAUUUCUAACGGCAUCGUACAAUUUUGGAACACUCAUAUCAAUAACAUACUCAUAAAUGUAACUGUGUCUAGUAUUACAUCAUUAGACAAUGCUUUUCAUACAAUUUAAUACAUCAAAGAAGCCUAAUUAGCUAACAUCUCUACCAGAUGGCAUACACAUGCUCUGAGGCUUUCCAGAGGCCCAAGUGGAAAACUCAAAGGUAAUUUUAAGUCAAAAACACUUAAUUUAGAACUUGAGCCUAGAGAAGCCUGUCAAAGAUGUCAAAAGUUCGAAACAGGAUCACAGGUCACUAUAAAAUAUUUAACAAGAAUGAUAAUCAAAAGACUUAAGAAGCAAUGCAGAAAGUUACAUACAUUUAAAAACCAUCUUUUCAAAGCUUCAUUUUUCCCAAGCAAAAAAAAAACUUAAACACAAGAAUUUAUCUUGAUAGAACAUAAAAUUUUUCUUAGGCCAGUUGCCAAAAUGGUAAAGAAAAAUCUCUUGCAGUGUGACUGCCUUUACUUAUGGGAAGCCUAUUUGGAUAUACUGAAAGUUGAAUCUGAUGAAAAGGUACUUGAAUUUAAUCAGACACAGGAAGAGUAUUUCCAAGGUUAUGAGUGUACGCCUUAUAGAGGAAUGUAAAUAAGAAAGCUAGUAUGUUGAACAGAAUACAUGGCUCUUGGAAAAAUUACGAGAAAUUUCCUGCUUGCGUGGAACAAUUCAAACAUGAGAAGAGCCAAGAAUUCAGAAUCAAGUUAUACUGGAGGAAAACAUUGCUUUUCUAGGCCUUCUACAGAACAUUUCAGUAUCAAGUUAUAACAGCAAGAGUUAGAACCAGAGGAAAAAAGUUACAGGAGCUAAUGAAAAAGUUAAGAGUUAUCACCCCUGCCAAACAAAAAGAUGUACCUUCUUAAGGGGAGAAAGAGCUAAAGGCAAUGAUGUGUGACCUACAAAUAAGGUGCAGCAAGAUACAGCAAAGGUUGAACUUGUGAGAUAUAAAUCAGGAUCUUCAAGAAGAAAACUCUACCUCAAGAAAUGAAAUGACCAUCUUAAAUGAAAAAAGACAGCCUUUCUAACCUGAAUCUAGGGGAAAUUAAACGGAUCUCAGAAGGAAAUAUGGCAGAAAUUUAAACUGUGGUUUAGAAGAUGGCUGAUUUUAGAAUUAAAAAUUAAAACCUCUUUCAAUUUUAUUAAGACCAGAUCCUUAAAAAGAACCUUGUUCUAACAUUGGGGACCAAAUUUUGUGUGUGUGUGUGUGUGUGUGUGUGUGUGUGUGUGUGUGUGUGUAUAGUGCAUGUAUAGCAUUUACACUAUCGUGUAUAUACAAAUAUAUAGCAUAUGUAUAGAAUAUACUGUAUUAUUGUACAUAUACAUAUGUACAAGUAUAUAUGUAAGCUCAAUGUCUUAUGAUUUCAUUCUGACCUAUUGCCAACUUCAUUACACACAACUCCUUUCAUAAAUGUAUCCUUCAUGAACAUUUCAUGAUCUGCACAGACCUUCAGUGACAUGCUUAAACUUUCUGCUUUGUUUUAUACUUCCCCUUAAACAACUGGUCAUCCUGCUUUAGGAUAAAAAGUUACUAUGCAAGACUCAUACAGAAUUAUUCUGUUAAUUUUGUAACCUUCCUUACCAAAGGUACAUUCUCACACCCAUUAACUUCCUUCAUAUUUCUCUCCUCCUCCUACUUAGUGGUUCCUUUCUGUCUUGUUUCCAUAUUUGAAACAACCUCUAAUAAACUCUGAAUUUAAACAACUUUUUUCCCAAUAAAAAGCAAUUUUUAUGCCUUAUAACUUUUCUCAUCAAAACAUCUUUUUUUGGGUACACUUUGUAUAUGGAAUUGUGUAUUUUCAAAUUUUAACUUAUUAACCUUAAUUUUUAGUGAAAACCUA
rnacentral:lncRNA from 1 species